AGGAUAUUUAGCUAUUUGAAAAACAUAUGUGCUAGUGUUGUACUUUAUAUCGGAAUAUAGUCCUAUAGCUAAUGUGCAAUUAUUAUAUUUGUAGCCUAAGCAUUGGUUUGUGAAAACAGGCAAAAUCGUGUUUGGCUAAUUGCUAACUAGCAAACACGUUUUAGCUUUUUGCCUGACUUUACCCUCAUGUUUUGAUGAGGAUCACAUGGACAACAGUGGAGAGUGAACCGUUGGCUCUUGCACUUACAUACUCACGUAGAAUGUUUUAAAAAAUUGACACUUCCGUCCAAAUGAGAUGAACGUGAGGUUGACCAAGACACACAUCAUGCAGGACGACUCAAGCCACAGUCCCAGUUAUACAGUGACGUGUGAGGACUAUGUUCAUGUGGUGGAGUUCAGCCCUUUCAACUCUGGGACCCCCGCCUCUCUCCUGGCUUAUGGUGGAAACCAGUACGUUGUAGUGGGCACCUGCCUCUUCCAGGAGGAGGAUGUGGAGACUGAGGGACUUGAAUUCAACGUUCUUCGAGCUUUUCAUAAUGAAGUACGGGUUGAUGCUCUUGCCUGGAGUCCUGAGUCCAGACUGGACAGGAUACCCAAUAUCAGAUUCUGCACUGCUGCAGCUGACAAGAAGCUACGCCUGUUGACUUCUGAUCUUCAGGAUAGGCAUGAAGUCAAGGUGAUGGAGGGCCACACCAGCUACAUUAACCAUUUGGUGUUCGAACCCACAGAGGGGAAACAAAUUGCUUCCGUCAGCGACGACCACACUUGCAGGCUGUGGGACCUGGAUGGAAAUGAAAGUGCUAUACUUAGACUCCGCUCUCCAGGCAUGAGUGUGUGCUGGCACCCAGAGGAAACCUGUAAGUUAAUGGUAGCGGAGAAGAAGGGGACAAUACGCUUCUAUGACCUGGUGACACAGCAGGCGAUUCUGUCACUGGACUGUGGCCAGUCACCGCUUAUGUCGGCUGACUGGUGCCUCACCAACACAAUCAAAGUGGGCGCUGUGGCAGGCAAUGACUGGCUCAUCUGGGACAUUACUCGCUCCAGUUACCCUCAAGAGAAGAGACCGUCCCACAGAGAUAAAGCGCGGCUGUUUAAAUGGUCUCGAGCCAAUGAAAAUCUCUUUGCUACCACCGGGUGCCCAGGAAAGAUCAAUAGUCAGUUACUCAUCCACCAUCUUGGCCACCCACAGCCGGUGACGAUCGGCUCGGCUGCAGUCGGAUCGGGCCUCAGCUGGCAUCGCACCCUCCCACUGUGUGUGAUUGGCAGCGACAGGAAGCUAAGCUUCUGGAUGACUGAAAUGUAGACAUCUGUCCUGCACUUUCCACGUACCCUUCAGGUCAGCUCCAGAUAAGCAGCAGGCUGGUCUGAACUUUACAAAGAGCUCAUUUGCUUUUCUCUGAAGAGUGAGUUACAUCAGUUGUCUGUCAUGUCCUGCCAAGAGAGCUGUAGUUCAGAGGAAUGAAGCGAGGCUUUGGUGCCAAAUCUCCACUUCACCAGUCAACAUGAUCAUCAUACUGCAGACCUGGGGGCAAAGUGAACCUCCCAACCCAGAGGCAACCCGACCAGGGUAGGGACACCAAUAAAAGAAAAGGCUUAUGGUUGGAGUCGGGAAGAUGCAGCGUUGGGAUUUGUGGCACUGAGCGGACGUCUUCAGCCACUCUCUUCAGCGAGUUGAUGAAAACCUCCAGGUCGGAGCUGUGGACCUCACACCUCAUGAAGAACUCCAGGUCUGUCACACUGUUCUUCAGCUUCCUGCCCGGCCGACUCUCGAUGUGGAGGAGUUUGGCUUCAAAUGUCU